rnacentral:tRNA from 1 species
CCCCGCGUAGCUCAAUGGUGGAGCGUCCGGCUGUAGCCCGGAAGGCUGGCGGUUCAAAUCCGCCCGCGGGGA